ACGGAGGAUGCAAGCGUUAUCCGGAUUUAUUGGGUUUAAAGGGUGCGUAGGCGGACUAAUAAGUCAGUGGUGAAAUCUUCCGGCUCAACCGGGAAACUGCCAUUGAUACUGUUAGUCUUGAGUUAGGUUGAGGUAGGCGGAAUGUGUAAUGUAGCGGUGAAAUGCUUAGAUAUUACACAGAACACCAAUUGCGUAGGCAGCUUACUGGACCUACACUGACGCUGAGGCACGAAAGCGUGGGGAGCGAACAGG
rnacentral:rRNA from 1 species